UAUAGAUUUAGGUUCUUAUUAAAGAUUAAUAGGGAAAGAGGUGAAAUUCCUCUACAGCCCCCGUUACUGUAAUGUGGACGAAACUCAAUAUACCACUGUAAAAAUGAGCGAAGCGAGUUUUUUAUGGGAAGGAGAGGAGUAGGUUGAUACUAAGUCAGGAGACCUGCCUAAAUUAA
rnacentral:ncRNA from 1 species